AUAUUUAUAAUGAAGCAAAUUUUAAAACAAGCACAAUGUUCAAUUAUUAAUACAUAGCUUAGUAGAAUCACUUAGUAAAUUAUGGCCCAUUCUCUCAAGCACACAAACAUUCAUUGAGCACCUACGUAAGCCAGGCUCUGUGCAAGGAGCUGAAGGUACAGAGAUGGACAAGGCAGAACCUCUGCCCUGUCUUCUAGUGUAAUGUAGCAUAUGACAUGGGGAGAAAAGGCAGGAAGUAGACAUUUAUUGAGGGACUUCUGUGUGCUUGGCAUUUUACCUAUGUUAUCACAUUUAAUCUUCUGAAGUGUUUAGUUACACAGCAUUUAAAUGAUAAGUUGGGAUGGGAAGAGGCCUUCAGAGGGGGUCACAUUGUGCAGGUUGGACAGAGCUGUGUGCAUCUUGCCAAGCUACUUGUUUUCUAUCUCUGGU
rnacentral:lncRNA from 10 species